CAGGAAAAUUUUGUUGACAAUUUUUUUUUUCAUAUGACAAAAUAUUGAGGCAGCAGAUUUUUUAAGUCAAAAUCAGGGUCAGAAUAUUGUUUUCUAAAAACUACCAGGCCCCUUCCUCCAUGAAAAUUAAAUGGUCCGUGGCAAAAAUAAAAAAUUCCCACAUGUUCAACUUCAAAAUUUGAUCAGAUUCUAUUCUUAACUGUCGGAUAAUAUACUAGGAUAACACAAAAAAUGUCCUGUAUGGGACGAUUCUGUACUCAUACUUCACGCGUAGUUGAGUACAAGUGUCCUCGUAGUGAAC
rnacentral:lncRNA from 1 species